UCUGAAAGCCGUCAUUUAAAUUAUUUCAUUAUGACCAUACUUGCUUUCAAAAUGAAGAUUAGACUAUUUAGCUUUAAUUGUUAGAUAACCUGCCCGUACAGACUUUUUCUUGUCUUAGUGGGCUUCGCCCAAUUAUUGCUUAAAUGUAUCUGUAAUUUAGUGAACCCGAGACACAAGUAUUGGAUUAUCAAACUCAACAGUUUAAACUGUUUCCUGUAUUGGCCUCUGCUUAUGCUAUGAAGUUUGCUAACCAAUACUUGAUGAAACUUAACACUGAAGUGACUAAAGAAAUUAGACGGUGAAGGAAACUUAAAAUCUCUACCUGAGCUUCAUGCUACUAGUGCUGGUUUGAAAGCAUUUUGCAGUGAACUGUGCUGCAGUGCUAUUGAGUUGUGCAGAUUAAGCUGUGGUGGUCAUGGCUACUCAGCUGCCAGUGGUCUACCUCAACUUUAUGCUGAUUAUUCUCCUUCUCCAACAUAUGAAGGAGAGAAUACAGUUAUGCUACUGCAAACAGCAA